GUGGGGAAUCUUGCGCAAUGGGCGAAAGCCUGACGCAGCCAUGCCGCGUGAAUGAUGAAGGUCUUAGGAUUGUAAAAUUCUUUCACCGGGGACGAUAAUGACGGUACCCGGAGAAGAAGCCCCGGCUAACUUCGUGCCAGCAGCCGCGGUAAUACGAAGGGGGCUAGCGUUGCUCGGAAUUACUGGGCGUAAAGGGCGCGUAGGCGGACAGCGUAGUCAGAGGUGAAAGCCCAGGGCUCAACCUUGGAAUUGCCUUGGAUACUGGCUGUCUUGAGUACGGGAGAGGUGAGUGGAACUCCGAGUGUAGAGGUGAAAUUCGUAGAUAUUCGGAAGAACACCAGUGGCGAAGGCGACUCACUGGCCCGUUACUGACGCUGAGGCGCGAAAGCGUGGGGAGCAAACAGGAUUAGAAACCCCGGUAGUCC
rnacentral:rRNA from 1 species